AAUGUCUUGACUAUUCCCAUUUCGUGACCGAGAGUACUACGACUGAUUGCGAGGACUUGGAAGAGGUAUUCGAAUGCUCUUAUCUGCCAGUAAACAAAAACGAAAAUUGACCUCUGUCAUUUUACUCUAAGAUCGCGAUAUCUGUACAGUUAUUUAGCUAAGAGAAAACGUGUCCAAACAAUUACCACGUGCGGCUAGCAGAUUCACGUUUUCAACGUGAAGACCAUGUUUCUUAACAAAAAAAAAUGCCGAGAAGACAUUUAAGUCUCCUUUCAAGCGAGUACAUACAAUUCAGGGUUACACGGUCAGUGCCGUUAUGUAGUGAAGAAGCUUACUGCAAGUUCAAAUUUUAUUCUCCACUUCGGUGACAACAAUUUAAUAGCCUGCACCCGGCUUAAUACAAGCUCUUGCUGUCCUACUUGACAUAACCAAUGGAGCACGACAGCUUGAGAAGUAAGAGGCAAGAAUCAGUGAAUAAGAAGAAGAAGA